rnacentral:ncRNA from 1 species
ACGGCGAGUGAAGCGGCAACAGCUCAAAUUUGAAAUCUGGCUCUUUUAGAGUCCGAGUUGUAAUUUGCAGAGGGCGCUUUGGCUUUGGCAGCGGUCCAAGUUCCUUGGAACAGGACGUCACAGAGGGUGAGAAUCCCGUACGUGGUCGCUAGCUAUUGCCGUGUAAAGCCCCUUCGACGAGUCGAGUUGUUUGGGAAUGCAGCUCUAAAUGGGAGGUAAAUUUCUUCUAAAGCUAAAUACUGGCCAGAGACCGAUAGCGCACAAGUAGAGUGAUCGAAAGAUGAA